GCGCGAGUGGUGAAAUUGGUAUACACGCAGCCUUGAGGUGGCUGUGGGGGCAACCCCGUGGAGGUUCAAGUCCUCUCUCGCGCAC
rnacentral:tRNA from 15 species